UGCAGUCGAGCGGACAGAAGGGAGCUUGCUCCCGGAUGUUAGCGGCGGACGGGUGAGUAACACGUGGGUAACCUGCCUGUAAGACUGGGAUAACUCCGGGAAACCGGAGCUAAUACCGGAUAGUUCCUUGAACCGCAUGGUUCAAGGAUGAAAGACGGUUUCGGCUGUCACUUACAGAUGGACCCGCGGCGCAUUAGCUAGUUGGUGAGGUAACGGCUCACCAAGGCGACGAUGCGUAGCCGACCUGAGAGGGUGAUCGGCCACACUGGGACUGAGACACGGCCCAGACUCCUACGGGAGGCAGCAGUAGGGAAUCUUCCGCAAUGGACGAAAGUCUGACGGAGCAACGCCGCGUGAGUGAUGAAGGUUUUCGGAUCGUAAAGCUCUGUUGUUAGGGAAGAACAAGUGCAAGAGUAACUGCUUGCACCUUGACGGUACCUAACCAGAAAGCCACGGCUAACUACGUGCCAGCAGCCGCGGUAAUACGUAGGUGGCAAGCGUUGUCCGGAAUUAUUGGGCGUAAAGGGCUCGCAGGCGGUUUCUUAAGUCUGAUGUGAAAGCCCCCGGCUCAACCGGGGAGGGUCAUUGGAAACUGGGAAACUUGAGUGCAGAAGAGGAGAGUGGAAUUCCACGUGUAGCGGUGAAAUGCG
rnacentral:rRNA from 1 species